rnacentral:rRNA from 1 species
UACAGGGGGUGCAAACGUUGCUCGGAAUUAUUGGGCGUAAAGCGCACGUAGGCGGUUGCUUAAGUCGGAUGUGAAAGCCCUUGGCUCAACCAAGGAAGUGCAUCCGAAACUGAGCAGCUGGAGUACGAAAGAGGGUUGCGGAAUUCCCGGUGUAGAGGUGAAAUUCGUAGAUAUCGGGAGGAACACCGGUGGCGAAGGCGGCGACCUGGGUCGAUACUGACGCUGAGGUGCGAAAGCGUGGGGAGCAAACAGG